ensembl:lncRNA
GUGAAUGAUUUUGAGUCAAAAUCGAUUAGUUACAUUUGUUUUUUAUAAGAAGUAACGGGAUAACUUAAAACGAAUAUAGCACAUACUCAUAUGGAUUACUUUUUUUUUUGGAAUUUAUUUAUUCAUUUAUUUGAAUCAUGCUUCCAUCUGUCAUCCGGGUGUCUCACUGAUGAAAACACCAGUUUGAAGCUACAUCAGGCAUCCAUUCACUGCAGAGGAUUCAUUGCUGAGCAAGUGAUGGAAUGCUAAUUUCCUCCAAAUUAGUUCUGAUAAAGAAACAAACUCAUCUACAUCUCGGAUGACCUGAGGUCUGGUCGGAAAAAAAGCAGGAAUGCCAUUUCUCACCACUCAUUUGGAGAGGCUUCCUCAAGGACUCUUCAGGGAGUCAUACCACUCUCAUGACCUACCAUGACUGUUCUUACUUUCUUUGGACCUGAUUGUUUCUCAAGAAAUAUAUCAGUUGUUUGGCUACUGCAUCCUGCCUCUCAGACAUAAAACUUUUGUUUAUUUUUCUCAAUAAUAAAGACUAGUGCACUCUUUAAAUGACUUUUAAAGAUGUAUGUAGUUAAUGAGUUGAUGAAAUAUUUACCUAUAGGUUAUGCAGCUGGUCAUAUUAUUAUAUCCAGAUAUUAUAAAUGUUUCUAAUUAUGUCAUACUUAGUCUAGAACUCUAGAAAGAGACAUUAUAAUUGAGACAUCAGAGUUUGCAAUGUAACUUAAUAUCAUUGUUUUAAUGCAAAACCUGCUGCAGAAAAUUUGUUUGUGUAAAUGACUUGAAAUAUCAGGUCUGUAUCUCAUAGUCCGCAAAUCUACUGGAUCUGCUUUUGCCUAAAGAGUACAGAACUCCAGAACCAGUGAAGGCCUCUUAGCAGUCAUAGAAAAGUAUUUUGAAAUUGAGCACAGGCUGUGGAAGAAAAAAACAGGCUUUAGGAAGAAGAGAUUCUGAAUUUUUCACUGUGUGAGUUAUGAGUGUGGAUGAAAGAUGGGUAUAGGUGAUGAUGUCGCAUCCCACAUAUGGAGGUCGGUCACGAGUCACUGGUGCCUGUGCUGUUACUACUUGGGUCAAAUGCCAGACAGUGUGUCAUGCAUAAUGAUUCUAGUGCAUGAUGGAUAGUAACCCUCACUUACAUCUAAAGUGAAAUUGUCCAUGAUAAACUGCAGUUAAAUAUGUUUUUACGCUAGCCAUUUGUGGACUCACUGGAAACCAACGAUAUUCACCAUAUAUCAUAAGUACAAUAAAUUGUGCUUGGCCAGGCCUCUAUAGAUUUUGUUUUUGAGGCAUCUGUGUAUGGGGAUGCAGGGAAAUGUUCUUUAUGUCUCUCUUUGUGUGUCUGCAUCUUGUUUUAAUCUGUAUUUUUGCCAUUAUUUUUUACCUG